CAAAUUAGAGCUUGUUGAAAGUAUUUUAUUUACAUUAAAAGGAAGGUUGUGAGAGUCAACUUAAUUUGA
rnacentral:tRNA from 1 species